rnacentral:rRNA from 1 species
GGAAAUUGCCCUGAUGUGGGGGAUAACCAUUGGAAACGAUGGCUAAUACCGCAUAAUGCCUACGGGCCAAAGAGGGGGACCUUCGGGCCUCUCGCGUCAGGAUAUGCCUAGGUGGGAUUAGGUAGUUGGUGAGGUAAUGGCUCACCAAGGCGACGAUCCC